GACGAACGCUGGCGGCGUGCUUAACACAUGCAAGUCGAACGGAAAGGCCCUGCUUUUGUGGGGUGCUCGAGUGGCGAACGUGUGAGUAACACGUGAGUAACCUUCCCUUGACUUUGGGAUAACUUCAGGAAACUGGGGCUAAUACCGGAUAGGAGCUCCUGCUGCAUGGUGGUGGUUGGAAAGUUUCGUCGGUUGGGGAUGGACUCGCGGCUUAUCAGCUUGUUGGUGGGGUAGUGGCUUACCAAGGCUUUGACGGGUAGUCGGCCUGAGAGGGCGAACGGCCACAUUGGGACUGAGAUACGGCCCAGACUCCUACGGGAGGCAGCAGUGGGGAAUAUUGCACAAUGGGCGGAAGCCUGAUGCAGCAACGCCGCGUGCGGGAUGACGGCCUUCGGGUUGUAAACCGCUUUCGCCUGUGACGAAGCGUGAGUGACGGUAAUGGGUAAAGAAGCACCGGCUAACUACGUG
rnacentral:rRNA from 1 species